AUUGAACGCUGGCGGCAUGCCUUACACAUGCAAGUCGAACGGCAGCACGGGUGCUUGCACCUGGUGGCGAGUGGCGAACGGAUGAGUAAUACAUCGGAACGUACCUUAUCGUGGGGGAUAACGCAGCGAAAGCUGUGCUAAUACCGCAUACGCCCUGAGGGGGAAAGCGGGGGAUCGCAAGACCUCGCGCGAUUAGAGCGGCCGAUGCCUGAUUAGCUUGUUGGUGGGGUAAAAGCCCACCAAGGCGACGAUCAGUAGCUGGUCUGAGAGGACGAUCAGCCACACUGGGACUGAGACACGGCCCAGACUCCUACGGGAGGCAGCAGUGGGGAAUUUUGGACAAUGGGGGCAACCCUGAGCCAGCAAUGCCGCGUGAGUGAAGAAGGCCUUCGGGUUGUAAAGCUCUUUUGUCAGGGAAGAAACAGCAGCUCUAACACAGUCUGCGAAUGACGGUACCUAACCAGAAAGCCACGGCUAACUACGUGCCAGCCGCCGCGGUAA
rnacentral:rRNA from 1 species